CCUACGGGCGGCAGCAGUGAGGAAUAUUGGUCAAUGGGCGCGAGCCUGAACCAGCCAAGUAGCGUGAAGGAUGACGGCCCUACGGGUUGUAAACUUCUUUUAUAAAGGAAUAAAGUGAGGCACGGGUGCCUUUUUGUAUGUACUUUAUGAAUAAGGAUCGGCUAACUCCGUGCCAGCAGCCGCGGUAAUACGGAGGAUCCGAGCGUUAUCCGGAUUUAUUGGGUUUAAAGGGAGCGUAGAUGGGUUGUUAAGUCAGGUGUGAAAGUUUGCGGCUCAAACGUAAAAUUGCAAUUGAUACUGGCAGACUUGAGUACAGUUGUGGUAGGCGGAAUUCGAGGUGUAGCGGUGAAAUGCUUAGAUAUCACGAAGAACACCGAUUGCGAAGGCAGCUUACUAAACUUACACUGACAUUGAGGCACGAAAGUGUGGGUAUCAAACAGGAUUAGAUACCCCAGUAGUC
rnacentral:rRNA from 1 species